rnacentral:rRNA from 1 species
GACGAACGCUGGCGGCGUGCUUAACACAUGCAAGUCGAACGGGCCCGCUCUCUUUUUUGGGGGUGGGUUGAGUGGCGAACGGGUGAGUAUCACGUGAGUAACCUGCCCCCUGCUCCUGGAUAACUGCUUGAAAGGGCGGCUAAUACGGGGUGUGCCGGCUGGUCCGCAUGGGCCUGGUCGGGAUAGUUUCAUCUUCGGGUGUUUCGGUGGGGGAUGGGCUCGCGGCCUAUCAGCUUGUUGGUGGGGUGAUGGCCCACCAAGGCGGUGACGGGUAGCCGGCCUGGGAGGGUGGGCGGCCACACUGGGACUGAGACACGGCCCAGACUCCUGCGGGAGGCAGCAGUGGGGGGUAUUGCACAAUGGGCGGAAGCCUGUGGCAGCGACGGCGCGUGAGGGAUGGAGGCCUUCGGGUGGUGAACCUCUUUCUCCGGUGGUGAAGGCCCUGUCCGUUGCGGCGGGGUUGACGGUAGCCGGGUAUGAAGCGCCGGCUAACUACGUG